UGAGUUCAGGUGAAGACCUAAAGCCCACGACAGUGCCUCCCAUGAGUCAAACUGGAGAGCCUAUGACAAUGACUCAUGCAAGUCUAUUUCGUGAAUCUGCGCUGAGAAGGUUCCAAGUUCAUUGGUGGAAGUUAGAAAGUCUGUGCCAGUGGGAUGAAGGAUUGGUGCCAGCAGGCUGAGAGAUCUGCAUUGGAGCCAAGCAGCAAUGCUCAGAAUAAGGACCAGGGCUCCCCCAAAGCAUACCACACACAUCCUCAGCAAUAACAAGGUCCCAAGCUCCUCCAACAGUGAGAACAGCUGAGUUCGUAUCAGGAAGCCAGCUUGACAAGCUUCUCCUGAAGAUUGAAUGCCACAUCAUCUUCCCCUCCAGAGCCAAGAAGCAGUAAAAUAAAGACCAGCAAUAAAAUAAAGACCAAAGCUCCUCCAAGGUGAACCACAGCCAUUCUCCAUGACAACAAGAUCCUGAGUUCCUCUGACAAUGAGAACAGCCAAGUUCAUAUCAGGAAAGAAGCCUGACAAGCUUCUCUAGGAGAGCCAACGUUAACAGGAGAACUAACAAUAUCCAGAAGAACCAACAACACUUCCUCUUCCCCUCCAUUUCUCCUUUUUAUGCUGGUGAAAAUCCUUGGAUGGGCCAUCCACACUCAGCUCCACCCUGACUCAGUUCAGCUGGUGUUACAAGUUGACCACCAGUUACCAAUCCACCACACCACAGAACCUCGGAUGUGAUCUUUUUGGAACAUGGUCGUUGCAGAUGUAAUUAGGUAAGAUGAAAUCCUCCUGGAGUAGGUGGGCCCUUAAUCAGUGACCAUCAUCCUUAUAAGAAACAGAAGGGACAGAGAAAGACAAACCCAGAAAGCGAGAAGACAACCCAGAAAAGAGACUGAGCUAAACAAUCUGCAUGACAAGGAAUAUCAAGCAUCACUAGUAAACACCAAAAGCCAGAAGGUGUAAGGAAGAAUUCUCCGUUUGAGUUUCUGGCCCUUUCCACAUCCCUAUUUAAGACUUUUAGCCUCUAGAACUCUGAAACAAUAGCCUUCGGCUUUCUAAAUCUCCUGGGAUUGCGUCUAAGUGGCAGACUGCCCUGCGGUCACCUAGACUUACCAGAGGCCGGGCACAGUCACCUGCCCUGUGGGGAAUUUCACCCUGUCUAGAGAUCAAUAAUGUUCACCUCGGAAGAUAGCACUUAUCAGAAGUGUGAUCACCUUGGAUGGAAUUCUGGCUCUCAGCGGGGGAGAAAUGACCUUUCAGAUUGCACCAUCUUGGCUACUACCCACUCUGUCCUU